UGGGGCUGGGCAUGCUAGGCAUGCAGUCUGUGAUCUAGCAUGGAAUUCUCUGGGAAGUACUUUUGGGAGUGAGGUGGUGUGAAUUUAUACAGAACAAAAGCAGCACAUUAAGAAGGACACCCACAGGUGGAGCACUUAGUCACUCCCACCGGCCAACAGCGCUUGCUUAGGGAGCCGGAUGAGGAAAGCUCAUUUAAAAAUAUGGUAACAUCUAUGUGUGAGAUGCUGAGUGAUGCUCUCAGAUGAAACCCAAAGAUGAUGACAUCCUUGCAGACACCCAGGUGUGUAUUUCUUCAUACUCUAGAAAAUGAUCAGUCAAUGAAAUGGAUAUUGUCUCUUUUCUUAUCGCUUGUAAAUGUCAGUUUGGGGAACGAAAAAAAUGCCACUUUAUGGUGUGAAGUGCCUGUCUACAAUAGUCCUUGCAGAGCGGCUCAGUGAGUCCAUGGCAUUAAAGAUAUGACAGUUACUAUGUAUACAGUCAGUGAGGAAGGCAGCACAGCAGUAUCUCCGAGAGGUGGGGCCCCACCAACACUCACACCACACCCCCUGCACGCUGCAUAUUCAUUGGCAGGUGAGGGUGCUUUUGUUUUGUGAACAAUGUCUUCUGGUCUUUAGUACGCAUUGUGGUUUUCCUUUUUUUUUUUUUUUUUUUUUUUUUUUUUUUUUUUUGAGACUGAGUUUUGCUCUUGUUGCUCAGGCUAGAGUGCAGUGGCACAAUCUCAGCUUACUGC
rnacentral:lncRNA from 10 species